GCAAUGGUGGUUCAGUGGUAGAAUUCUUGCCUUCCAUGCAAGAAGCCCAGGUUCGAUUCCCAGCCAGCGCA
rnacentral:tRNA from 1 species